rnacentral:rRNA from 1 species
AGUGAACGCUGGCGGCGUGCCUAAUACAUGCAAGUAGGACGCAGUUGCGAACGGGUGAGUAACGCGUAGGUAACUACCUAUUAGAGGGGGAUAACUAUUGGAAACGAUAGCUAAUACCGCAUACUAGUAGAUGGACCUGAGUGGUAUUAGCUAGUAGGUAGGGUAAUGGCCUACCUAGGCCACGAUACAUAGCCGACCUGGGGGGGUGAUCGGCCACCCUGGUACUGAGACACGGCCCAGACUCCUACGGGAGGCAGCAGUAGGGAAUCUUCGGCAAUGGGGUGAACCCUGACCGAGCAACGCCGCGUGAGUUAGGAGGGUUUUCGGAUCGUAAGGCUCUGUUGUUAAGGAAGCGGUACUUAACCAGAAAGGGACGGCUAACUACGUGCCAGCAGCCGCGGUAAUUC